rnacentral:rRNA from 1 species
AUGGACGAGGGCAAGUAUCAGCAGGGCUGGCUCGCCGUCGGCCUGCCGCCGGCGCCGGUGCUCGCCGUCACCGGCAUCGUGACCUUUUUCCUCUACCUUUCGUGGCAGAUGGAUGAGUUCGAGGAGCAGCUGCGCCAUCGCACCCAGGCAGGCUUCUGGGUGCUCAUGGUGCUGGGACUCCUCGCCCUGGGCGUGCUCGCGCAGCAUGUGCUGUUCGACGGAGAGGGGAGGGUCGCCGUGCCCGCGGCAUGGCGAGGCCAGCCCGAGGGCGGCUCCGGCACGUCGCCGUGGGGCGUCGCGGCCCUUGUGGCUCUGCUGCUGGUGCUUGUGUCUCACAGAUUGAGCUUGUUGUUGAAUUUGGCAAUUGGUGCAUGA